rnacentral:rRNA from 1 species
UACGUAGGGGGCUAGCGUUAUCCGGAAUUACUGGGCGUAAAGGGUGCGUAGGCGGUCUUUCAAGCCAGAAGUGAAAGGCUACGGCUCAACCGUAGUAAGCUUUUGGAACUGUAGAUCUGGAGUGCCGGAGGGGCAAGCGGAAUUCCUGGUGUAGCGGUGAAAUGCGUAGAUAUCAGGAGGAACACCGGCGGCGGAGGCGGCUUGCUGGACGGCAACUGACAUUGAGGCUCGAAAGCGUGGGGAGCAAACAGGAUUAGAUACCCUGGUAGUCCCUGA